UUAACAUUAAAACAACAAAUAAAUAUAUUAUAAAAUAACAAAACCAACAAUGUUUCGCUCAUCGCACAAAUAUAGUUUUCAAUAUAGUUUCUAUGUGCGCUUAUACCAUUGUUGAUACUAUAAUAACCAAUCAUAUAAGCCGACGAAAUCAUAAUUAUAUAAGUAGACAAGGUUUCAAACAUUUCCAAUACAUUCAAUAACAAGUUAGGGCACAGCCCCUCAGGGCACAGCCCUGUGGUGCAAAAGACAUGAGUGAGAUUAUCUCACGCCUUGUUGAAGUGUUGGAUUCGAUUCCUGAUACAUGGAAUUAGACUCCUUGUAAGCGCAGUGUACAGACAGCUCUUGUUUCCUGACCCGUUAAGGCACAUCCCGCGAUUUACCUCACUCACAAAGCUCUAAGGACGGGACAGUGAAGGCCCUCAAAGUUGGGAUUCAACCUUUUAAUAACAAGUUAGGGCAAGUCAUUCAUUGCUUACUCGAAAAGUAGAAUUUUGACAAAAAUUAUGAAAUCACACUUUUGAGAAUUCCACUCUCAUAACUCACAAGCUUGAAAUAAAAAUUUAACAUCAAACACAAAUACAAAUAUAUAAUUUUAUUGCAUUAAUAUAUUCAUCAUAAAUCUAGAAUCUUAUUGCAAAUUGCAUAAAGACGGGGUACAAGGAUAUGAUGCUCAGAAUGGGUUUUCAUUCUAUGAUCACUAUGAUUGUGGAUGGACAACAGGAAAGGUCUCAAUUUAAGCGUGUCGAAAAUUUCUAACAAAAUCAAAAUAAAUAACUUCGAUGUCCUUCAAAUUUUAGAUUUACGUAAUGUCUCAAAGUACAACCUUUUUCUGUCAUCAAUCAAAGACCAAGCUGUGAAAAUUGUGUGCAAUCUAAAAAACUACUCAUUAGCCAAUAUGAAAACUGAUUUCUAAAGUUAAUACAUUAUUAAUCCAGAAGAGCUAUAAUUCUUAGAAAAUUACAUUGCACGGACUGAUGACUUAAAGCAAC
rnacentral:lncRNA from 1 species